rnacentral:lncRNA from 1 species
GCAAGCUUUCUAGACACCAGGUGGUGGCUGUGGACCUGUGCUGGGACUCUGAGGGUGCCAGGCCUGUCCCAGCAGCCCCAUGCCCAGAUACCCUCUGUGAAGGAGAUGCAGAGGCAGUGGGAGAGGCCAGCUGCCCAGACAAUCCUGCCGGGCAUGCUGGGCACUGCCAGCCACUGGCUCUGGCUGUUAUGCUCAGGCUGGAUUCUGAGGCUGGGGCUGGCCUCCAGACACCUGCAGUGGGCAGCUCCAACCAGCCAGCCCAGCUGCCUGCAAAGACAGAGCUGGGGAUGGCUUCUUCUCAAAUGUGCAGGAAUUUCCUCCCAUCUGCCUUUUGGCCAGGCCAAGGACCUGGGCUUCCACGGCAAGGCAAGGUGUCCAAUCUGCAUCUGGGCCCAAGAGUGACCCAGCAGGCCCUGCAUAAACUCCCCAAAUGGAAGGCACAAUGCCAAGAGAUGGGGCAAAGGGAAAACGACAUCCAGGUCUUCACGGCCCAGUUGCAAGGGUCCCUGGAAAGCCCCAUCAGAGUCUACCAGUGCCUGGGAGCCCACCACAGUGACUUACAUAGUUGGAGCCAAUGUCCAGCUGUGCCUGGGCCAUUCGCAAACACAGUUUACAAGGGGAAGGACACUGACGUCAGGUACUCACUCAAAUCAUUUCCAACAAGAAAUUUCUCUCUCUCAGCUGUUUGUCUCCAAACCUCCCUCAAGGUGGAAAGCUACGGAGCAGGGCAUAAAUGGAAGUUGCCAGACAGAUGUAAGAUUUGGGGUCUUGUUCUGAUAUGUGACUUCAUAGAAACCGGAUAUGGGCAGGCAGCCACAGGUGGUGACUCCACCCUAAGCCUAGGUGAUGACAAGUUUGUAGACCUCAUCUCCCUAGAGCUGGCUGAGAACAAAGGCAUGGCUGAUGUGAGCACUUCUGGGAGAACGCUGAAACUGGGUUCCCAUUGGACCCAGGCAGUGCGAUGUCAGCCUGACAGGUUAAGUUGUCUCUGUGCCAACUGCAAAGACAUUCCUGAUUUCUCAGCUGGACCUGUGAUGUGUCAAGGACUUGACGUCAUGGUUCUAAGCUGUGCCUGCAUAACAGGCUUUGUUAACCAGCCACUGCAAGGCUGGCACACCUUCAGAACUAUAGUGCCAGACAGGUGACCCUCAUCUGUGGGUCAGGGUGUGAGUGUGCUUGGUGUGGGUGAGGAAGUGGAGUGUGUGGGCACUGUGGUGGUAGGAGGGGCUCUGUGCCACAGAAGGUCUCCAUGCACACACCAAGAACUAGAACUUCCUUGGACCUUACAACUCUCUGUUUACCUUUCCUGGGAGCAGUUAGCCUAUCAGCCACUCACAUCUUAGUAUGAAUUUGUCUGCCCUGCACAGGGCCUCUUACAACACAGCAGCUGGCCACAGCCUGAAUUCAU